GGGUGUGUAGUUCAAAGGUAGAAUAGUCGGCUCCAGACCGAUUGACGAGGGUUCGAUUCCCUCCGCGCCCA
rnacentral:tRNA from 1 species